rnacentral:lncRNA from 1 species
UUAUCGUCUUCGUGUUUGAUGAUUUAAGAUGUUGAUGUGUAAAGUAAAGUAAAGAAAAGAAUGUAAUGUUCAUUUUGAGGUAAAUGUGAUGUAAAAGAAAUGAUGAAAGAAUGUAAAGAUUUUGGAAGAGUGCAAUGUAGAUGAUCUAAAAUGAAUCAUGUUACUUGUGUAUGUUUAGUUUUCCUUUCUUUCACUAAUGGCUAUUGCUUACCUUCGUGUAAGCCGUUUGUGCAUGUUUCCGCUAGUGCAUUUCAAUUCUCUUGAAAUUGUACACGUGAUGAGCCUUGGGCGGAUAGGGGAAACUCUGUCCGUUCGGCGUCUGUUCGACGUGCUCGGGCCGGCCCAAA